GUCCAGACUCCUACGGGAGGCAGCAGUGGGGGAUAUUGCACAAUGGGGGGAACCCUGAUGCAGCGACGCCGCGUGAGUGAAGAAGUAUUUCGGUAUGUAAAGCUCUAUCAGCAGGGAAGAAGAAAGACGGUACCUGAGUAAGAAGCCCCGGCUAACUACGUGCCAGCAGCCGCGGUAAUACGUAGGGGGCAAGCGUUAUCCGGAUUUACUGGGUGUAAAGGGAGCGUAGACGGUAUGGCAAGUCUGAAGUGAAAGCCCCGGGCUCAACCUGGGAAUUGCUUUGGAAACUGUUAAACUAGAGUGCUGGAGAGGCAGGCGGAAUUCCUAGUGUAGCGGUGAAAUGCGUAGAUAUUAGGAGGAACACCAGUGGCGAAGGCGGCUUACUGGACUGUAACUGACGUUGAGGCUCGAAAGCGUGGGGAGCAAACAGGAUUAGAUACCCGAGUAA
rnacentral:rRNA from 1 species